rnacentral:rRNA from 1 species
GCAAGUCGAGGGGUAACAGGAGAGCUUGCUCUUGCUGACGACCGGCGCACGGGUGCGUAACGCGUAUACAAUCUACCUUAUACUGGGGAAUAGGCCAAAGAAAUUUGGAUUAAUGCCCCAUAGUAUUUUUCUAACACAUGUUAGAAUUCUUAAAGCUCCGGCGGUAUAAGAUGAGUAUGCGUGACAUUAGCUAGUUGGUGAGGUAAUAGCUCACCAAGGCAACGAUGUCUAGGGGUUCUGAGAGGAUGAUC